GCCGGGUUCAGUGGCGGCGCCUGUAAUCCAAGCUACUGGGAGGCUGAGGCUGGCGGAUCGUUGGUGCUCAGGGCUUCUUCUGGGCUGCAGUGGACUAUGUCGAUCGGGUGUCCGCACUAAGUUCGGUGUCGAUAUGGUGCUCCUGGGGGAGCUCGGGACCACCAGGUCGUCUAAGGAGGGGUGACACUACAAAGUUAGUUUUAAUAAAAAUAAUCCUCAGGUAAACAAUUUUAAUUAAUCUUUAAUCUCCACACAGCUGCUUUUGGAGUUGUCCUUAU
rnacentral:sRNA from 1 species